GAAAGUCAACUUCUAGUGCUAUUGGAGGACUGAAGUAUUCUAAAGAGCAAUGCCUCAACCAAGAGAAAAGUUCAAGAUAAGUUAAGGAGUAUGACCCCAUAUUUGACUGUGGCUCAGCUCCUCAUAUCUGCCAUAUAGAAAUGAGAAAAAAGGUGGGGAGGGGCCUGUGCUGAGAUUUCCUUUGCCUCCCCCUAUUCAGAUGACAGAAGCUAUCACAUGUGGGCCUUGUCUUCACGGAUCCCGGGACUCAGUUGCUGAGAUAAAAGCUAACCCACAGGAAACACCAGCGAACUGGAAGAAGAUGCUAUCUCACAAGAUGCUGUAGUAGACAGGAGAGCAAUGAGCAUCAUGAAGAUAAAGAUACGAUCGUCAAGGAACUCACAAUGUAACAUGGGAGAAAGAUACGCAGGCAA